rnacentral:rRNA from 1 species
UACGUAGGGUGCGAGCGUUGUCCGGAAUUAUUGGGCGUAAAGAGCUCGUAGGCGGUCUGUCGCGUCGAUCGUGAAAACUUGGGGCUUAACCCUGAGCUUGCGGUCGAUACGGGCAUGACUGGAGUUCGGCGGGGGAGACUGGAAUUCCUGGUGUAGCGGUGAAAUGCGCAGAUAUCAGGAGGAACACCGGUGGCGAAGGCGGGUCUCUGGGCCGAUACUGACGCUGAGGAGCGAAAGCGUAGGGAGCGAACAGG